rnacentral:misc_RNA from 1 species
AGGUCGUCUUCCGUUGUCCGCCCUUAGAAGCUCGGGGGCGGCUCGUCGCUUCGCCGUCUCGCGCACUGCGGCUUCCGACGUCUCAGACAACAACAAGUUUCUAGGACACGUCGGCCGCGGCGCGAGUACGACGGACGGCCGCGCCCGCCGACACGACCGGCAAUAUGCGGAGCCCGUCUUGCGUGCUCGACCGGCCAAAAUGUGCUCUCGUCGAACUCUCUGCCCGGUUUACUGGGUCGCGUUCGAAAGGACCCUCGGGAACGUCACACUUCGGACGCGUCCUCCGGUCGAGUUCGCACGCGAACGACCGCGCGAGGACGCCACGAAGCGGCCCGUCACACCUGCGCGCGAGAGGUGGCGCGUUCGAAAAGCCUCCUCCCGUGGGGACGACCGGACGCCCGGUACUGUGCUACGGGGCGCGACGUAGCGCGUCUAGAUCACCGCCGUCGCGGACUCGUACGCCCUGAUCGUCCUCCCCAUCUAGGGGCUGGGGCGUUUCAUUAAAAGAGAGUGUUUUUUCACGAGGAGAGAUGGCCGGCGCGGGCGCCGCUCUAUUCGGAGGUACGUUCGAGAAAACCACCGAGAGCUAUGGCGCGCACACGCAGUUCGACGCUCCGCUGCCGUGGCCGCGAAAGAGCGGAACCGCGGAGGAGUGGCGCGCGCUUCGUUGCCGUACGCCCACGGUCCGCGUGUGUCGCGCGACAACCCGUCCCCGAUGGGAGACGGGGCGCAAGCGAGCCGCGGACGCGCGACAUGUACGGUCGAGCGCGUUAAAUUGAUUUAGAGGAACGCGGCGGUCGGACGGGUGAUCCGACCGUCCGCCGCGAGUCCCCAUCCUUGCCCCGACGUACGUACCCCGCCGCGAACGGCACCGUCGCGGGCUCGUCUCACAUCGACGGGGGUACCGGGCAGUCGUAACUUAAGACACGACCCUCAGUCAGAGGUGGUCCGGGAACAGUAUCCGAGGACCGCAAUGUGCGUUCGAAACGUCGAUGUUCA